rnacentral:rRNA from 1 species
UGGGGAAUUUUGGACAAUGGGCGAAAGCCUGAUCCAGCCAUGCCGCGUGAGUGAAGAAGGCCUUCGGGUUGUAAAGCUCUUUUAGUCGGAAAGAAAGAGUUGCAAUGAAUAAUUGUGAUUUAUGACGGUACCGACAGAAAAAGCACCGGCUAACUACGUGCCAGCAGCCGCGGUAAUACGUAGGGUGCGAGCGUUAAUCGGAAUUACUGGGCGUAAAGGGUGCGCAGGCGGUCUUGCAAGUCAGAUGUGAAAGUCCCGGGCUUAACCUGGGAAUUGCGUUUGAAACUACAAGACUAGAGUGCAGCAGAGGGGAGUGGAAUUCCAUGUGUAGCAGUGAAAUGCGUAGAGAUGUGGAAGAACACCGAUGGCGAAGGCAGCUCCCUGGGUUGACGCUGAGGCUCAUGCACGAAAGCGUGGGGAGCAAACA